rnacentral:misc_RNA from 1 species
AACCUAUUCCUAAGACCAUUUAUGAUCAUUCCUACCAAACCCAACUGCAGGAAAUUACCUGGACAGCCAACGGCAAGACAUCUAUUUACGUGUCAUAGCAACCCAUCAGCCGCAGGCUUCCAUUUUAUUGCUGAAGGGACAUCACAGUGCUGCUUCGUUAAGCUGCUUCUUAUAGAUUUCUCCUGUCUUUGAUAGAACUCUUGUUGAUCCUCAAGUUCUCUUAAUUUUACUUUCAGUUUAUCGAUCUCCUGAGAAAUCUGUGCAAUUUCUUGCUUUAGUUGAACAGGAAAGUCUUCCACACGCUUUCUAGCCUGAACCACAAAGUGAGCAUGUGCCAAGUAUUUCAUAUGUUCAAAAAUGAACUGAAAUUUGAAGCCAACAUAUUUCACCCAUUUCAGACAUGCAAACCAUUCGCCGAGUUUUUGAUCAGUGAUAUCCACAAUUCUAGUUGCACGCAUGUUCUCUAUAACACCACAUAGAAAAUAAAAGAUUAACGACUUUGCUUUUGGACUUAACAUGGACCCAGCACAGAUAUCCUCAUUCUUGCUAAGCAAAUCUUGAAAGGUGGGGAUAAGUGUGCGAGGGAUCAAGUAAUCCUGGAAAGUGAUGAAUUCUUCAUGUUCCAGAAUAAAAUCUGGAAUCUGAUAGUCCAAAAUGACAGAAUCCAGCCUAUCCAUGAAUCUUUUGAAGGCUUCCUCUGAAUAUGCAAAAGAAGAAGUAUAUUCGCUGCUGCUUUCAAGUGAGGUAAUAUUUGUUUCUAUUCCCUUUCGUAUAGCUUCUUCAAUAUCAUCAAGUUGCUUUCGCUCAGCAGCCUCCAGGGAAACCAGUAUAUCAUCAAAUAGAACAGCCAUGCUUUCUAUAUAUUUUGAUUUGCUAGCAUCCUUAACUAUUUCAUUUUGCUCCGUCUCUUCUAUUGCCAGUUCUUUGCUAAUCAUCUUACUAGAGAUGUACCUACCCACAAUUCUCAAUUCCACAUUUCCCCGCUUUCCUUUUAGUGAUGCCAUAACCUCAGAAAUUACACAUUUUACUUCAGCAAUCAUUGGGCAACCUUCUGAACAAUAGUAAACGCAAAGUUUUGGAUCCCUUUGUCUCUCGCAAACAUCGCAAUAAAAAUCAUCAUCUUCGUCGUCAUCCUCAACAUAUUGAUCCUUGAGUGUAAGGGUAUCUAUGUGACAUUUAUGUUUAAUGGUACAGGGCAAUGGGCCACACAGAAGGUGAAGACUGAAAUUGCAUUCCAGACAACGAAAUGCAGCAG